GCUACCGGAAGCGGAUGAGUCUCCGGGUGGGUCAGGAGCAAACCUCUCUGACCUGCGCUGGAAAAGACAAAAAUAAAGAUUCUGGAUGCUCUACUCCGCCUGACGCACCUCGCACAGCGCCCGCCGAGGAGGCGCUCGGAGAAGCAGCUCUGAAGCGGUUUGCUGCCCGUGGAGCUUAGACACCCUCAGCUUGUGCACUACCUGCCGCCGCAAUGUUUAGGAGAUUGCCGCUUCCACAACUGCUUUUUGCCGCCAUCCUUGGAAUUGCUGGAGGAAUGUAUAUUUAUCAGCCAAUAUUUGAACAAUAUUCCAGAGAUCAGAAGGAAUUAAAAGAAAAGGUGAAGUUGUUGCAAGAAUCAGAAGAAAAGGGAACUAAUUCUGCAUAAACUGAAAUUGUAAACUUUGCUUAAAGUUCUAUUGAAAUCACACAUCGACUAUUAAUCUAGUAAGAAUUUAGGUAUGUUUUAAAUAAAUAAAUCAUGGGUAAUGAA
rnacentral:lncRNA from 1 species